rnacentral:rRNA from 1 species
UGAGACAUGGACGCAGGCCCUAUGGGGCGCAGCAGGCGAGAAACCUUUGCAAUGUGCGAGAGCACGACAAGGUUAAUCCGAGUGUCUCCUGCUAAAGGAGUCUUUUGUCAGUUGUAGAAUCACUGGUGAAUAAGGGGUGGGCAAGUUCUGGUGUCAGCCGCCGCGGUAAAACCAGCACCUCGAGUGGUCAGGAGGUUUAUUGGGCCUAAAGCAUCCGUAGCCGGUUGCAUAAGUUUUCGGUUAAAUCUAUGCGCUUAACGUAUAGGCCGCCGAAAAUACUGUGCAGCUAGGGAGUGGGAGAGGUACACGGUACUCGAUAGGAAGGGGUAAAAUCCUUUGAUCUAUUGAAGACCACCUGUGGCGAAGGCGGUGUACCAGAACACGUUCGACGGUGAGGGAUGAAAGCUGGGGGAGCAAACCGGAUUAGAUACCCGGGUAGUCCCAGCUGUAAACGAUGCAGACUCGGUGAUGCAUUGGCUUGUGGCCAAUGCAGUGCCGCAGGGAAGCCGUUAAGUCUGCCGCCUGGGAAGUACGUACGCAAGUAUGAAACUUAAAGGAAUUGGCGGGGGAGCACCACAAGGGGUGAAGCCUGCGGUCAAUUGGAGUCACGCC